GGGGGGAGAGCCAGGGGCGCAGAGCCCCGGCCAGAGAGGGGGAGAGCCCCAACCCCAGAGGGGGGAGACGGGGGGGAGAUGUCUUGACAGCAUCAACAGGCCCGGGGAAAUCCCCCGUCGUGCCUCGACGGCAUCUCCCGCCUGCAGGCCACCUGUCACUCAGCCCGCCCCCGGCCCCUGCCGGGUCUCCCGGGUCUUUAACAGCUGGUCCCCGGCCGCCGGCGGCGAUGGUGAUGAUGAUGAUGAUGGUGAAGGUGAGGUCCCCCUGGCGGUCGAGACCUUCCAGGGGUUUGAGAUGAAGCAGCAGUUCGACGAGGUCGUGCAGGAGCUUCAGCAGUUCUUUGAGAUCGGGAUGAGCGACCCGUUGGACUUGUCGUCGUCUGAUUGGGGUCGGUUCUGAACGGAGCGGAGGAGACCGGAGCACCAGGCCCUGGAGGGGAUCAGACGAGCCCUCUGAUGGAGCGCCUCGGGGGGACGUCCUCAGACAUUGAAGCAGCCAUCUCCCUGAGAAUGAAAGACAACGAUGAAGACGGCAGGGGAGUCUGCGGCCUGAUGGCUCAUGGAUGUUCUCCAGAACCACUGGCCCCUCCUCAGGAUACUGGGACCAGUGAGCCUGACCAGCAGGUCCCCCCCGCAGACUGGAGGCCGCCCUGCCUGGACGGGGAGGACUCAAUGUACUCCGCAGGGGAGCACAGAGAAGAGAAUGAGAAAAAAGAAGACCACAUCAUCCAUCGGGCAGUAUCAGCAGUUCCUGAGUCCAGGGAGAAGAAAGAGAAAGACCCGGUCUGGAGCCCGUCCUUCCAAUCCCAGCUGUCAGGGAGGCAGUACAGCCAACGACAGACCGAUCCACACCGGAGACUGGAGCCACUGAAGACCUGUGCUCGGCCAAUCAGGGUCGGGCUUUCAAAGCGUGCCAAGACCUCUCAUCUGCACCGUAAUCACCCCUACAAGUAAACAGAAGGUGCACCAAAGACCCCACACCGAUGUCCGUGAAGCUGAAGCUGAGAGGGAGUAGCAGUAUCACCUAAGUUCUUGUUCUUGUUGUGUUGAUGUUCCAGAUGGUUGAAUUGGUUUCUGAAUGCGUUCCUGCACAUCUUAUUGCAGCCUAGUUAAUCGCUUGUUCAAUAUCAGUCACCUUCAACUGUGAUUCUACCCACUUCUAGAGUGCAUUUCUUCACAACUACAUGGUUUAACUGUUCAGUGGAAAUGCAAAUUCGACAAUCUGGGAAAAAGGAGGUUUGCUCUGCUCUAGCGCUGAUUAUCUCCUAGGACUGCUACUUUUUGGCUUUCCCUUUUGGCCGUUUCCUUAUGUUUUCAUACAACUCGUGUGUGUUCAGUCAAAUUUAAGUUAUAAUGACAAAAUAUGCUUGUUAUUCACUAUUUAUAUGCUGCUGUUGUGUGCAGUUUUGACCUAUUUAUACCUUACUGAAGGAAUCGAUUCCCAUGUAUUUAUACAAUAUUAUAUUUGUAUUUAUUUACCAUAUUUGAUUAGUAUUUAUUUGUCUGUGCAGCGUCACAUUUGUCGCCAUGUGUUGACUCUAUUCAAACUGUUCUGUGUGGGAGUUUGCAAUCAGGGCUGCAAAUGUUAUGUUAUUUAUGCGUUUGUUGAUUCUUUCACCCAACCAUUAAACUGAUUGCUGAUUGAUUGCAA
ensembl:lncRNA